rnacentral:rRNA from 1 species
GUGGGGAAUAUUGGGCAAUGGGGGCAACCCUGACCCAGCGACGCCGCGUGAGGGAAGAAGGCCUUAGGGUCGUAAACCUCUGUUGUGUGGGAAGAAGGAAGUGACGGUACCACACGAGGAAGUCCCGGCUAACUACGUGCCAGCAGCCGCGGUAAUACGUAGGGGACGAGCGUUGUCCGGAAUUACUGGGCGUAAAGGGCGCGUAGGCGGUCAUUUAAGUCAGCUGUGAAAUGGUCCGGCUCAACCGGAUCAUGCGGUUGAAACUGGAUGACUGGAGUGCUGGAGAGGAAAGUGGAAUUCCCAGUGUAGCGGUGAAAUGCGUAGAUAUUGGGAAGAACACCGGUGGCGAAGGCGACUUGCUGGCCAGCAACUGACGCUGAGGCGCGAAAGCCAGGGGAGCAAACGGGAUUAGAAACCCGAGUAGUCC